ACAUCCCAUUCUUCCUGAAAUCGCCUUUUCCCUGACUUUUUUUGUUUUUCGUCUUCUGCUAAGGUGCACUUCGUAUUAAUAGUUUUGUCAUAUCCGCCAUUCUUGAUUUUUUUAUUAAUUUGCGUAAUUUGUUCCUUCUCCUCGAUUUUCCUUUUGAUUUUUUUUCCAGUAUCCAUUUCCUUUGUUUCGUGUUCAUCGUGAUCCAGUUUAAUUUUCUUUGACUCUGCAGUUAGAAAUUGAUGAGUAAUGUCUUCAUUUACCUGGAAUUUUCUUUUCAUUGAAAUAAUUUUCUCUUUUUCUUUCGUAGGUGUUGCUGGAGUCUCGCCUUCGCACUCCGUGGACACUUUGAAUUCAUGGUGCUUUAGGUGUUCGUGGUCUUCGUCAGCCUUCGUGACCGUCCAUGCUCGUAACGUCUUCUUGUGCUCCUUGUUGCUACAUUAUACAAGUGACUGCAGUACAAACGCAUCUAAGUAAUAUAUAGACAGAACCAUCCAGCACUCAGUGGCCCCAUCGCGCUGGUCAGUAGAGGACCCGUGGCCACCAGACGCAGCGGAACCUUUCUGGGUCGUAACGUGAUGACCCGGGGGACGUAAAUAGUGCCGCCGAAGUCCCGAGUGGCUUCGAGACAAGGAAGAGAAGCUACGCGACUCACUUCAGUCAUCCAGUCAGUGGUCAGUGGCGUCAGCUUCGUUGUGGUGUACGUGUGAGUCUUCUGUGUUUUCUUGGACGCUUA